UACGUAGGGGGCUAGCGUUGUCCGGAUUUAUUGGGCGUAAAGAGCGUGUAGGCGGCCAGGUAGGUCCGUUGUGAAAACUCGAGGCUCAACCUCGAGACGUCGGCGGAAACCAUCUGGCUAGAGUCCGGAAGAGGAGAGUGGAAUUCCUGGUGUAGCGGUGAAAUGCGCAGAUAUCAGGAAGAACACCCGUGGCGAAGGCGGCUCUCUGGGACGGUACUGACGCUGAGACGCGAAAGCGUGGGGAGCAAACAGG
rnacentral:rRNA from 1 species